AUUGUUUUAGUUUAAUGGUAAAGUGCAUGACUUUUAAUUAUGUGAUUUUGGUGUUGGGUUCAAAUUCCAUUAAUGACG